rnacentral:lncRNA from 1 species
UAAAGCGCGGCCCCUGUAAAGCGCGGCCUGAUUGGCCCUUUGAACCGGGCGUGGGAUUGGCCGUCGCCUGCCCACCCCGCGGCUGCAGCGUUCCCUGGGGCCUAGCCAACCGCGGGCAGGGCUGGGCAAGGCGGGAGGAGCGCGGACCCAAGAUCGGCUACGCUGCGUCUGCUCAGGCUGCGAGUUCCCGGCUCUGGGGACUCACCUUGCGGAGCUUACCCAGGCGGACUCUCCGCAGCCCCUGAUGGGUGUGUGUGUCAGACCGUUUACUAAACACCAGGACUGUUGUAGGCGACUCAGCCGUGUUGAACCAUGAAAGGACCUCAGGAAUGAAACCCACACACAGCAAAGCAACAAAGUGAAAGAAGCGUGGAUUCCUAAUGCAGGAGGCACUGAACCAAUCAAUACCCACUGCCCUCCAGACCUCCACAUGAAAGAAAAAAACUGCUGUCCUGUGAAGAAGACACUCCCCAGAUGCCAGCAACUUGAUAUUGGACUUCCUGCCUUUAGAAACGUGAGAAAUAAAUUUUUUUUCUUUAUAAGUUACCCAGCCUCUGGCAUUCUGUUAUAGCAGCACAGAACAGACUAAGACAGCCACUGAAACCAGAUCUAUGUCCCGGACCACCCUCAUUUGCCUCAAUUUCUCUCUAUAUAUAAUAAGAACAAAUAAUGCAAAUGCUAUCUAUACUUCCCCGUGACUACAGGGAGACUAAGGGAUGAAAUAUAUAAUCACACUUUGAAAAUAUAUAAAUGUUAUCCAACCAUACAUCCAUUGUUUCACAUCAGGCUGGGCCACAUAGCUUCCUCUGUACCCUUUAGUUUCCUGCCCUUAUCUCUAUCACAGGCCAUAUAUCAAAUGCCUAGUAAUUAUCAGUGCAUCUAUAUAUUCCCUAUUCUCCCCAACAAUACAUAAAAGGUUAUUGCAUUGCAUUGAAUUAUAAGACUUGAUUACUGGAAAGUCUAGACAUCACUCAGGGUCAUUGUGGGG